AUUGAACGCUGGCGGCAGGCUUAACACAUGCAAGUCGAGCGGGGAAGGGUAGCUUGCUACGUGACCUAGCGGCGGACGGGUGAGUAAUGCUUAGGAAUCUGCCUAUUAGUGGGGGACAACAUUCCGAAAGGAAUGCUAAUACCGCAUACGCCCUACGGGGGAAAGCAGGGGAUCUUCGGACCUUGCGCUAAUAGAUGAGCCUAAGUCAGAUUAGCUAGUUGGUGGGGUAAAGGCCUACCAAGGCGACGAUCUGUAGCGGGUCUGAGAGGAUGAUCCGCCACACUGGGACUGAGACACGGCCCAGACUCCUACGGGAGGCAGCAGUGGGGAAUAUUGGACAAUGGGCGCAAGCCUGAUCCAGCCAUGCCGCGUGUGUGAAGAAGGCCUUUUGGUUGCAAAGCACUUUAAGCGAGGAGGAGGCUACUUGGAUUAAUACUCUAGGAUAGUGGACGUUACUCGCAGAAUAAGCACCGGCUAACUCUGUGCCAGCAGCCGCGGUAAUACAGAGGGUGCGAGCGUUAAUCGGAUUUACUGGGCGUAAAGCGUGCGUAGGCGGCUUUUUAAGUCGGAUGUGAAAUCCCUGAGCUUAACUUAGGAAUUGCAUUCGAUACUGGGAAGCUAGAGUAUGGGAGAGGAUGGCAGAAUUCCAGGUGUAGCGGUGAAAUGCGUAGAGAUCUGGAGGAAUACCGAUGGCGAAGGCAGCCAUCUGGCCUAAUACUGACGCUGAGGUACGAAAGCAUGGGGAGCAAACAGG
rnacentral:rRNA from 1 species